rnacentral:rRNA from 1 species
AUGAGUAACGGAGGCAGGCAGCAAAGAGCGAUGCAUGUGCGUGUGCAUGAGCCGAGGCGACGGCAGCGCCUCAAGCCUGGCGUCCUGCCCGGCGGUGAACAGCUCGUCCAUGAAGGGAACACACUCGUGCGGAUUCAUGCGGAGAAGCGGGUGCUGCGCGCCGGCGGGCGGGUGCGCGCCCCGCGCCAUGGUGGCGAACGCCAGCGCCUUGAGCCAGGUGGUGCCGCACUUGGCCGGGCUCGCGAGGAGCACGUCGCCGGGGCGCGGCGUGAAGCGACGCUGGAGAGAGAUGAACCCCGUGACUCUUUCUUGGAUCACCCAGGAGCCACGGUACUGGCGCAGGACCAUGCCUAG